rnacentral:rRNA from 1 species
AGAGUUUGAUCAUGGCUCAGAACGAACGCUGGCGGCGUGCUUAACACAUGCAAGUCGAACGCGAAAGGUUCUUUCGGGAACCGAGUAGAGUGGCGCACGGGUGAGUAACGCGUAAGUAAUCUCCCCCUGUAUCUGGAAUAACCUACCGAAAGGUGAGCUAAUACCGGAUACGUUCAGAUUGAUGCGAAUCGAUUUGAAGAAAGGUGGCCUCUUCAUGAAAGCUACUGUACAGGGAUGAGCUUGCGUACCAUUAGCUAGUUGGCAGGGUAAUGGCCUACCAAGGCAACGAUGGUUAGCGGGUCUGAGAGGAUGAUCCGCCACACUGGAACUGAAACACGGACCAGACUCCUACGGGAGGCAGCAGUGAGGAAUAUUGCGCAAUGGGGGAAACCCUGACGCAGCGACGCCGCGUGGAUGAUGAAGGCCCUUGGGUCGUAAAAUCCUGUCAGAUGGAAAGAAAUGCAUAAUGGUUAAUACCUGUUAUGUUUGACGGUACCAUCAAAGGAAGCACCGGCUAACUCCGUGCCAGCAGCCGCGGUAAUACGGAGGGUGCAAGCGUUGUUCGGAAUUACUGGGCGUAAAGCGCGCGUAGGCGGUUUGUCAAGUCAGAUGUGAAAGUCCAUGGCUCAACCGUGGAAGUGCAUUUGAAACUGGCAGACUUGAGUAUUGGAGGGGGUGGUGGAAUUCCCGGUGUAGAGGUGAAAUUCGUAGAUAUCGGGAGGAAUACCGGUGGCGAAGGCGACCACCUGGCCAGAUACUGACGCUGAGGUGCGAAAGCGUGGGGAGCAAACAGGAUUAGAUACCCUAGUAGUCC